rnacentral:ncRNA from 1 species
GUUUUGGUCCUAAACUUGCCGUUGUUUUUUAUCAAAUUUACACAUGCAAGCUUCAACAACCCAGUGAAAUUGCCCCUAAACCCCUAAAUAGUAAAAAGGAGCAGGCAUCAGGACCCAGAACCUCCUAGCCCAAGACGCCUUGCUAUGCCACACCCACACGGGAACUCAGCAGUGAAUAACAUUAAGAAAUGAGCGAAAGCUCGACUUAGUUAUGAUAAAAAUGGCCGGUAAAUUUCGUGCCAGCCACCGCGGUUAUACGAGAGGCCAGAAACAAUGACCCUACGGCGUAAAGAGUGACUAGAGAGCACCAAAAACUUAAAGUAAAAUUAUAUUAAAGUUGUAAAACACCUUGACUAUUAGACCCUCAACAAAAGACUUUAAAUAUAAGGGCACCUUGACUUCACGAAAGCUAAGAAACAAACUAGGAUUAGAUACCCUACUAUGCUUAGCCCUAAACAUAGAUAGCAAUUACACAAUGCUAUCCGCCAGAGAACUACAAGUGAAAAGCUAGAAACUCCAAGGACUUGGCGGUGCUCCAUACCGUCCUAGAGGAGCCUGUCCUAUAAUCGAUAACCCACGCUUAACCUCACCACCCCUUGUAAUUCAGCUUAUAUACCGCCGUCGUCAGCCCACCUUGUGAAAGAAACAAAAGUGAGCAAAAUAGUUAACAACUAAGACGUCAGGUCAAGGUGUAGCCCAUGAGGUGGAAGAGAUGGGCUACACUUUCUAUAACAGAAUACACGAAUAGCACAGUGAAACCUGUACUUGAAGGCGGAUUUAGUAGUAAGAUAAAUAAGAAAGUUUACCUGAAACCCGCUCUGGAGCGCGCACACACCGCCCGUCACCCUC